AUUGAACGCUGGCGGCAUGCCUUACACAUGCAAGCCGAACGGCAGCACGGGUGCUUGCACCUGGUGGCGAGUGGCGAACGGGUGAGUAAUACAUCGGAACGUACCUUAUCGUGGGGGAUAACGCAGCGAAAGCUGUGCUAAUACCGCAUACGCCCUGAGGGGGAAAGCGGGGGAUCGCAAGACCUCGCGCGAUUAGAGCGGCCGAUGCCUGAUUAGCUUGUUGGUGGGGUAAAAGCCCACCAAGGCGACGAUCAGUAGCUGGUCUGAGAGGACGAUCAGCCACACUGGGACUGAGACACGGCCCAGACUCCUACGGGAAGCAGCAGUGGGGAAUUUUGGACAAUGGGGGCAACCCUGAUCCAGCAAUGCCGCGUGAGUGAAGAAGGCCUUCGGGUUGUAAGGCUCUUUUGUCAGGGAAGAAACACCGGCUCUAACACAGUCCGGGAAUGACGGUACCUGAAGAAUAAGCACCGGCUAACUACGUGCCAGCCGCCGCAGUAA
rnacentral:rRNA from 1 species